AUGUAUGUAAACAUGCAGACCCCCGCGCGCACCGUACGUCCACGUACAGGGAGUUCUCUGCGGGGUCCCGGCUCUCGGGCCUCAGGCCUCAUCAUCAGGUUCACGCCCUCCCCUGGGAGCCACCUCGGCCCUCAGUAUGAAGUGUCUGGUGCCACCGGGCAGGGCUGUGUUGGCAGGGUCGUGGGUUCAUGCACAGGCCUGGGGACCAAUGUCCCUGGAAACGGGCUGUCCCCACUAGGGGCCCAUCUCCACCCCAGCCCGACCCUCAGCACUGGAGCCACGGAGGGUGAGGACUCAGGAGCCCUGCCGCUGGCCCGCCCUCCCACCGCCAGCACUUCCCCGAGAAGCCCUCAGAGCCCGCCCCUGCCCCGGUGCCGCCCCAGCACCCCCAAACCAGCCGGGCUCCAGGUCUCUGGCAGCGGAGCCCAUCGCAAGAGAGACAGGCAGGCUCAGCGGAGGGGCAGGGGGCCGGCACCACCCUAUCAGUGGGCUGUGGGGCAGCGGGUGCCCCGCUGCCUCGGCCCCUUGGGGGGUGGACACCAGGCCUGGGCAGCAAGCGGUACCGGGGUUGAAGAGGACGAUGGCGCGCAGGCAGCCCAGCUCCGUCUUGUCCAUCUGCAUGUCCCGCAUCUUGGACACCAGCUCCGUCAGCACCCUGUGGGGGAAGGGGCAGGGAACAGCAACGUCCAAGCCAGACCACGCCCUUCCUGGGGCCCCCAGAAACACCCCCGAAGGGCUCCGUGACCCUGCCCUUCCUGGGGCCCCCAGAAACACCCCCGAAGGGCUCUGUGACCACACCCCUCCUGGGGCCCCCAGAAACACCCCGAAGGGCUCCGUGACCAUGCCCUUCCUGGGACCCCCAGAAACACCCCCGAAGGACUCCGUGCAGGCCUGAAGGGCAGCUGAGAAGGGUAGGGCGGAAAACAUCAACGUCCAAGCCAGACCAUGCCCUUCCUGGGGCCCCCAGAAACACCCCCGAAGGACUCCGAGCAGGCCUGAAGGGCAGCUGAGAAGGGUAGGGCGAUUCGGACAGGGUAGGACAGUCCCUGUGCCCAGCCGGUCCCCUCCGGCCCCGAGGAGAGAGGGGGGGCUCCUCUCCUCCACCUCCAGGAGCUCAGCGUUGUGGGAUUUUAUUCCAGGGCCGCCCCAGCUCCUGGCUCCCCUGCUCCUGGCUCGCUGCCAGAGGGGGCUCUGUGCCACUUCCCAUCACCAGGCACCUCCCGAGCACCUGGGCCCCCGGAGCUGUCAGCUGGGCGCACAGCCGGGGAGGCAUUUCUAAACGUGCCCUUGGAGGGACGGGCUUGCAAUACGAUCCUCUGGAAAAGGAAACGGCAACCCACUCCCGUAUUCUUGCCUGGAGAAUCCCACGGACAGGGGAGCCUGGCGGGCUACAGUCCACGGGGUCGCACAGAGUCGGACAUGGCUGAGCGACUAAGCAUGUAAGCAAUGAACCCAGCACCCCACAGCCCCCUCUUUGAGUUUGGUGAAGGCCCUGAAAUGUCCUGUGGCAAAGACACGCCCUACACUGUCUACAUCAGGGCCUGCCCAGGGUGCCUGGUGCCGGCGGAGGGGGCAGGGGAGCAGUCAGGAGCCGCCCCCCUGUUCUUCCUGGGCUGUCCUGUGUGGCAGCACGCUCUUGCUUUUAUCCCCAGGGGGCUACAGUAGGGGUCUCUGCUGCGCCCCCCCCCACCAUUAGGCUCUUGUACUCAGGGGCUCGGGCUUCCCUUGGGGCUCAGUGGGAAAAGAAUUGGGUUGGGAAGAUCCCCUGGAUAAGGGAAAGGCUACCCACUCCAGUAUUCUGGUCUGGAGAAUUCCAUAGACUGUAUAGUCCACAGGGUCUCAAAGAGUCGGACACAACUGAGCGACUCUCUUCACUCAGGGGCUCACCUGGGACCCCGCCCAUUGCCUCCCCUCCCCGGGGGCCCCCCUGUGCUGCAGCUCCCCCACCCCAAGGACCCACCCACAGCCCUCCCCAGCCUCUGCAGCUCUGGCUGGCUGAGCUGACACCCCCGUGCUCUGGGCUCACAGGCAAAGCCAGCCAGAGACAGGACAGGCCUCCCAGUGACCCUGCCAGUGGAGACAGAAGUUCUCGGAGCCUGAGAACAGAGUCGCCUGACCAUUGCCCAGCACUGGCCGCCUGGGUGUGUGCAAGAGGGGCGGGAGCAGACAGCGGCGUCCCCGCCGGGGACAGGCCCGGAGCGGUGCUGGGACGCGGCCGUACGCCCGCCACACGCAGGCUCACGGAGCCACGACACAUCAGAGGAGUCCUCGAUGGCUCCCCCAGGACAGCACCCCCGUGUAUCUCUGCUGUAAAGAUGGGGCCGCUUUCCUUCCCACACGCGGAUGUGGAGGGAAGGACACCGCAGUGGGAGCCGGGGAGGCGGGCGGCCCUAGGGAUUUUAAUCUUAGGGAAGUUGCUCAGUAGUGUCUGACUCUUAGCGACACCAUGGACUGUAGCC
rnacentral:lncRNA from 1 species